GACGAACGCUGGCGGCGUGCUUAACACAUGCAAGUCGAGCGAUGAAACUCCUUCGGGAGUGGAUUAGCGGCGGACGGGUGAGUAACACGUGGGUAACCUGCCUCAUAGAGGGGAAUAGCCUUUCGAAAGGAAGAUUAAUACCGCAUAAGAUUGUAGCUUCGCAUGAAGCAGCAAUUAAAGGAGUAAUCCGCUAUGAGAUGGACCCGCGUCGCAUUAGCUAGUUGGUGAGGUAACGGCUCACCAAGGCGACGAUGCGUAGCCGACCUGAGAGGGUGAUCGGCCACAUUGGGACUGAGACACGGCCCAGACUCCUACGGGAGGCAGCAGUGGGGAAUAUUGCACAAUGGGGGAAACCCUGAUGCAGCAACGCCGCGUGAGUGAUGACGGUCUUCGGAUUGUAAAGCUCUGUCCUCAAGGAAGAUAAUGACGGUACUUGAGGAGGAAGCCCCGGCUAACUACGUGCCAGCCGCCGCCGUAAGAC
rnacentral:rRNA from 1 species